rnacentral:rRNA from 1 species
UACGUAGGGUGCAAGCGUUGUCCGGAAUUAUUGGGCGUAAAGAGCUCGUAGGCGGUGUGUCACGUCGGUCGUGAAAACCUGGGGCUUAACUCUGGGCUUGCGGUCGAUACGGGCAUCACUUGAGUUCGGCAGGGGAGACUGGAAUUCCUGGUGUAGCGGUGAAAUGCGCAGAUAUCAGGAGGAACACCGGUGGCGAAGGCGGGUCUCUGGGCCGAUACUGACGCUGAGGAGCGAAAGCGUGGGGAGCGAACAGG